GAUGAAGAACGUAGCAAAAUGCGAUACUUGGUGUGAAUUGCAGAAUCCCGUGAACCAUCGAGUUUUUGAACGCAAGUUGCGCCCGAAGCCAUUCGGCCGAGGGCACGUCUGCCUGGGUGUCACGCAUCGUUGCCCCCCCAAACUCCGGUUCGGGCGGGGCGGAAGUUGGCCUCCCGUGCGUGCCUGCGCGCGCGGUUAGCCCAAAAGCGAGUCCUCGGCGACGAGCGCCACGACAAUCGGUGGUUUUUUUACCCUCGUUCCUCGUCGUGCGUGUCCCGUCGCCCGAACGCGCUCUUGUGACCCUCACGCGUCGCCUCGGCGGCGCUCCCAACGCGACCCCAGGUCAGGCGGGACUACCCGCUGAGUUUAAGCAUAUCAAUAAGCGGAGGA
rnacentral:misc_RNA from 1 species